UACGAGUGCCUCAAGCGUUAUCCGGAAUCAUUGGGCGUAAAGGGUGUGUAGGUGGUUAUAUUAGUCUUUUGUUAAAUUCUUCGGCUUAACCGGGGGCAUGCAAAGGAAACGGUAUGACUAGAGGAUGCGAGGGGUCUGCGGAACUCAUAGUGUAGCGGUAAAAUGCGUUGAUAUUAUGGGGAACACCAAAAGCGAAGGCAGCAGACUGGAGCACUCCUGACACUGAAACAAGAAAGCGUGGGUCGCGAAUGGG
rnacentral:rRNA from 1 species